rnacentral:lncRNA from 1 species
GAGGAGCCAUGAAAAUGGUGAAAAAUUGCGAAAAAGAUGAAGAAAUUCAAGGAAUCAAAAAAAAAAAAAAAAAGAGAGGAUUGAAAUCACAGUAAAGAACUAUUGAAUCAAUCACAACAAGAAGAAAGAACGAGAAGAAAAUUGAGAUUGAAUAUGAAUUCAAUCGAACCAGAAAAACAGAGUUCAAAAUGCAGAAGAAAGGAUCUAGCACCAUGAAUCAAGCAGAGAAACGAUCAACGAAGGUGAUCGGAGAAGAAAGCACAGCGGAGAAAAACGGUUAGAGGCCGUUGAGGAUCGUAACUACCUUUCCCCCAUGGGAGAAGGCGCAUGAUACCAU